GGGGGGAGGGAGAGAUGUUGCCCGGGCCGCAUCUCCAACAUUAACAUUUCAUGGGCUCUGCAGCAUCCUCCUGCACGUAGGUAGGGCUGCGGGGCCGGCAGGGGCUGCGGGGGAGGAGUUUGCAUGGCAAUAUCUUGCACAGGGAAUCUCUCUGGAAAGCUCCAGCACAAAGGAGCUGUACGGCGGCCAAGAGAGCACGCAGCCCACGGUCCCCGAGCCGGCUGCCACCUGGAAGUCAGAGUCCUCAUCAGGAAUAGGGCUCGAGACAGCUGCUAAUGACUGACCUGAGGUCUGUUCACACACAGUCCCCUGCGCAGCCCUUGCAGAGGAACGGUCGGACGGGAUGGGGGACGCUGCACGAUGCCCGUGUAGCCAGAUGGCACAGCACCAUCGGCCCUGUGGCUCUGCCACAGCUCUCACCCGAGGGCACUGGGGGACAGGGACGUGACAGCCGCCUGCACAUGGACACUGGAGCUGCCAGCCCCAGUGGAGCCACCUGAUGCCAGCCCGGUUGCUGUGGGAACACAGCUGAAGAGAUGGUGGUGGCAGUGCCUGAGGACACGGGACUGCCUUCACACGGUUCUGCCAGGUGCUGGGGCCCUCUUCUUCCUGCAAACACUCCGGCACUGCUGGGGCUGUCCCCUCCUUGGAGCCCAUCUCUCAUCCUCAUGGUGCCAAGGCUGCACGUCGCAGGGCGUACCCAGGCACUGUGCACCUCACCAGCACGGUGACAGCAGCAGGUCCCCGCCAAGCAUUUCAUCAGGAGGGCUGCACUGCGCUCACCCAUCCACUGACACCUUCCCACAUCCCAUAACCCAGCGGCAAAGCCCAAAAACGCCUCCUGCUCUCCUAAGCCAUACCCGGGGAGGUGCUGCCUUGAGGGGGGACUAACCGUGCCCGGCUGUGCAUGCGUGUGCUCUGCUCCUCUCCAGCACUAACCAGGCCCCCUGGGCACCGUGUGCUCCUUGUGAUCACUAACCCACUAACACACCCGCGCAUGCCCUACUAACAGCCCUGCAGCCACUAACAGCCCACAGGCCUUAAAGGGGAACGGAAAAGCUGGGUAAGUACGGGGCUGUACGGGGCACUGUGGGGCUGGGGGACCCAUGCAGAACGUGGGGCAGGCAGGGCAGGGUGAGCAGCCCCUCUGCAUGCCCCCUGCAUGGGGCUGCUCUCUGCAGCAGUGGGGCUGCGAUGCCCGGAGUGCUGCAUAUGGUUCUGCUGCUGACUGGGAGGCCAAAAUGGUUUUAUCAGCAGAAGCUUUUCAGUUCCUUUUUAAGCCAGUGGAUCUCUCUGUUACUAACACGUUCCUGAACUGAAUUAAACAAACUAAUCGUUGCUGCUUUUCUCUUCAUUUCUCUUCUAGUGUAUAUGCUCUCUAAGUGCGACUGACGAUGCCAUGCUUCUCUGUACUAACAGCCUGCACUAACCUCUCCUUACUUGUUUCCCUAUUGCCUCUAACAAUUGUUCUUCGCACUUUAACUUUCCAGUGCUGUUGGCCAUGACAGAUGAGCAGUGGUCCCCACCCACCCAGGGACCCAUGGCUGCUGACCCCACACUGCCAUUGGGUGCAGCGCAAAGGGAGAGGCUCAGGCCAGGGCUGAGGGUUUCAAAAUUUCCCUAUUGGUCUGUUGUUUGCUGAGAAAUUUCACGUGGUUCAUUGAGGAAAAGAUACUGAGGGGAAAGGGGACAAUGCCAAAACCACGAGCAACCACUGGCAAUUGCCACAAGAAUCCAGCAAAGCUGCCCAGAAGGCAGCACGAUGGCCACGAGCCCCCCAGCCCCAGUUCACCUGUCAUGGAAACAGCCUCUCUGCAUUGGUGCUCACAUGCAGGGCAGCUGCAGGCUCUGCUGGCUCUCUUUGCUCCCUUUUUCUCUCUGCAGUGAUCUCGUGACCCCGAUGCAUGCAGAAAGGUGGUGCCAGCAGUGUGCUCCUAACUAACCACGAGGUUCUGAGGGCUGAGGCUGCCCACGGGUUGGUACUCACAAUGUCCUGCCAGCCACUGAUGGUGGCAGUGACAGUGAUGGUGAUGAACUGGCAAAGUCAGCGUGCUGCUAAUGCUGGGGCUGGGCUGCAGCCCUUGCUUUGCUUUCCAUAGGUCUGAAAUUAGGUAAAACUCCCCUGCAUUUGCCUGGGGUUGAGGCUUCAGGAUCCAGCCAUCUGCCCAGGUUUAGCAUGCGGUGUCUGUGGGGCAUUGCCAGCAUGCACAGAGCACAGCUCGCCCUGCAUCCAGCAGAUGAUGGUUGUCCCUAUGCUGCCUUCCAUCCCUGGGACAGGGGUCUGGCUCCUGGACCUGCAGCUGGGGAGCACCAGGAUGGCUGCCCUCUGCACCCCAGCCAUGAGUGGGGAAUCAGCAGCUGAAGCACCCACAGGCAAGCAGCUCCCCACCUCCUCCACAUUAACCACUAACAAUCCACUCCCUGCCCUCAGCCAGGCUGUGAUCAGGAGGAGUUUUUGGGCUGAUGCUCAUAUGUUCGAUUGAGGAGGGUGCCUGCUUCUUCCUGAUGGGGGAGCAGAGACAUUGGCUCUGCAUGGAGCAUAGGAGCGGAAUGGGGAAAGGAGCAGGAGGAAGAGGAGGACGGGAGGAUGGGCCAGGUCCAGGGCAGGGCAGGGAUCCCCCCCUACCAGGGCAGUAGGUUCAGGGCUUGGGCAGAAACCUGCAGCAACGAGCGCUGCUUCAUCCCUACACCGUGAGCACCAUGAGCACUUGUGUACUCCAAGCCCUGCCUGCCUGGAGCUGCAGAGAUGAAUCCUCCUUUGCUCUACCCCUGCCACCUCAGCACUCCCUAUCCCAGCCCUGUGUUUCCCUUGUCUGGGAGACAGUCUGUCUGUCUAUUCCCAUUUGAGACUUGCCUGGAGAUAGGUGGUGGUAAAGGGGGGUGUGAGACCUCCAGUAGUGUUGUGGGCAGAGGUCCAGACAGCAUUUGGCCCCGGGGUACCCCAUCCUGCCCAGGACACACCUUAUACCAGGGCAUGAGAACUUCACUGUGUGUCAGCUCCCUCCUGCUCUAGCUGUGGCUCGAAGGUCUGUGGGUGGGAGGGCAUCAGAGCCAGACACAGGGGUGCUGAGUCAAGCAUGUCCCCAACAGCUUGCUCAAUGCCUGGUGUUCCCGCAGCCCUGCAGUGCUGCUGGGUGCAGGGCUCAGUGCUGGCACGGGGUAGGGAUGCUCUGGGGAAGGGGACGUGGAGCUGAGGAUGUCCUUAUUGCCUGUAAUGUCUGCUGUGAACAUGGCAAGUGUGCAAACACCUGUGUGUGGU
rnacentral:lncRNA from 1 species